rnacentral:rRNA from 1 species
GACGAACGCUGGCGGCGUGCUUAACACAUGCAAGUCGAACGGAGUGGCGAACGGGUGAGUAACACGUGGGUGACCUGCCCUGCACUUCGGGAUAAGCCUGGGAAACUGGGUCUAAUACCGGAUAGUGUGGGAUGGGCCCGCGGCCUAUCAGCUUGUUGGUGGUGUAACGGCUUACCUAGGCGACGAUCCCUAGCUGGUCUGAGAGGAGGAUCAGCCACACUGGGACUGAGAUACGGCCCAGACUCCUACGGGAGGCAGCAGGGGGGGAUAUGGCACAAGGGGCGAAAGCCUGAUGCAGCGACGCCGCGUGGGGGAUGAAGGCUUUCGGGUUGUAAACCUCUUUCGCUAUCGAACGGGUAGGUGGAGAAGAAGCGCCGGCUAACUACGUGCCAGCAGCCGCGGUAAUAC